AUAGGGAGGGGUGGUCAUCACGAGGUUUAACUGAGAUGGAAAAAAUACUGAACAACACAAUAGCAGGAACUGAGCAACUGUUCUAACUAGGCUGCGAUACCAGAACAGUAAGGAUCUAUACAUCGACAGAGGGAGAACUCCAAGAAGCGCCAAGAGGCGGGGACCCGCCUGAGCGCCUGCAAUAGGCUGGGCAAGUUUAAGUUGGGUCUCCCACUGGUCUGCUUGCUGGGGUGAUUGAAGAUUUGUGUGUGUAUGGUGUAAGUUGAAGCUUACUGGCGUAAAUGAAUAUUUGUGAGACUCAAAUCGUGUGCAUGAAAUACGCUUGAUAUUCAGUCGGGGACUAAUAUCGGUAUGAAUGAGUUCGGGGACCAAGAGAGUGUGGUACAUUAGGUAUUUCAGUUGGAGCUGGUACCGGUGAGAAUGUUUAAAAAGUCGCAGGCUUGCUGAUGAGAUGUUUGCACAGAGUUAUAUCAUAGAAUAUGAAGGGGGUGUGCAUGGCUGUUGGAAAACGUGUUAAACUCUUAACGUAAAAUUAUGUGUGUAGAUUCAUAUCAUGAGGUUUGAACUAUACUAAUAUUGUAGAAUUACAUAAUCAACAUCUGAACAUACUUACAUUAAACAUUAAUUGAGCCACUGAGUAAUAGAUAAGAUGUACGUACGGGAGACGGGGCGAAGGGUGUGGUCAACGUAAGACGGGAGGGGUGUUCUAACCAAGUGCUGAGAAAUAAGGUAGAUUUAUUUUGUUCUUUUAAUUAAUUUACACAAGUACUUCCCGGUUAUUGAUUUUGGUUUGAUUGUUCAGAUAACACCAUAGAAAUUAAACAGGAGGUUAAGGUAUACUAACAUUAGAAUCUGUUUUCAUUAUGGGGAACAAUGAAAGGCCCGCAGAGUGGAUUGCAGGCUGAUUUUAUUUUAUGUUAAAGGGCCAGUGUACGUUUAUCACAGUUGUGUGUGUCUAAUGGCUGGGUAUUUAAGAAGUAUUUUGGGGAGACAAUUUGGAGAAACACGAAUGUAAGACAUGAAACAUUGAGACAAAUUAUUUGAGUUUGAGGGGAUUAUCAUAAUUAUUAGGUUUUGUUUUUGUAGUAAAUGUUUUGGGUUUAAGGGGAUUUCCAUGUUCCCAGAGACAAUAUAUCUUAAAGGGGUACACUCACAUAUGAAAUAUUAGAAGUUUUUAUUUUCUGAGUCUUAAUUAAAUAGGUGAAAUAUUUUGAUAAAGGAAUGUUGUUUAAUAUAGUAAGAAACACUUCUUUGGAGGGGUGGUAUGACUUAUGACCUCCAUUGUAACUUUCCUUUGUGGUCUGAUCAGCCUCAUUGGAAAGCCAUUUGGAUGGAGAAUCUAGGGUAAUUUGUAAUACUGAUAUUAAGGUAAUUUAAUACAAAAAGGCAAUGAAACUUACAUUAUAGUGUCAUUAUAUUUUCUCUGAUGAAUGUGGUGUGAAAAUUAGCUAGGAUAAGUUUAAUGAUGGGAGACUCAUGUUAACUAUUUGGGACAUAUUUUGAGCCAACAGGGCAGGGAAGAAAUUGAGAUAUUUGUGUUUGGUUUUAACACCUGUGUACAGGAGUGCCAGUGUACCUGUGUAAUGGGGGAGGGUGUCCGUAUGGGGAUUACAUGAUAACCAAUUUGGGACAGUUCUGGGAUUGGAGAAGAGGGUAUCCUUAUAGCAUAGGGGAUCCCACAAAGGUGGAUAGGUUUUCCAUGAUAUGGGGGAAACCUGGGAGCACUGUUGAACUUUGUAAAGGUGAUGAAAUCCUACUAACCAUCAAAACUAUUAAGCUCUCUGAUGCAGGCACUUACACCCUGUUUUCUAUUAAGAUGCUGCCAAAACCACAGAGGUCCCAGACGAACCAGAGCCAGACACACUCCUCUACCACCCCUGGACCGAACCUGCCACCUACCACCACUGUGUCAAAUCUCAUUCAGGUAAUUACCGUUAGAGACUAUUCAGCUAUUGAUCAAUUAGGCACUGAGACUGGUUUUGAUGGUAGAGACAAUUUGUGUCUGCCUUAUAUGAGGUAUACAGCUAAGACCCUGAAAAGAAAGGACUUGCAUGAGUUACAUGAAACAUUGGUCAUGCUAGACCUGUUCUGACUACACAUCCAUCUGCUAUAGGAGAAGGAGAGGGGUGUUUGUGUAUUCUGAGAGGUUUUUACCAGGUUCAGCCCAAUUCAACUCUCUGUUCCUCUUUGAGCCUUGUGUUUCCUACAGUACCUCCUCAUCGGGCCCUUUGGGGUGUUAAGGCAUAUGGGGGCAAUUACAGUUGCAUCACGGGUACAGGUAAUGGCAUUGAUUAUGGGAGAUUGCCUGAAGCUGAUUGCAGUAGUAACAUAACCAUUAAUUCCACUUGGCCAGUUACAGGCCUAAACCAAACUAGUGGUCUGGCUGAUGUGUGGUGGAUCUGUGGACCCAAAAGAGUGCUGAGACCCAUUCUUAGAGGAGACUGGCAAGGUACGUGUGGUCUGACCAGUUUGAUAAUUCCAUUGUUGAUGUUACUGCUGAACAGCUGUUGGGUUCUGUAUCCAGGGGACCUGAAAACAUUACAUCCCAUGGGAGACAUAGACGUAGUGCUCCAUGGACAGAGGAUGUAGUUGACAUACACACUAACCUGUUGGGAGUGCCAGUGGGGGUUCCUCAUGAGUUUCAGACCUUGGGUAGGAAUGAUAGACUCUGGCACUUACUACCUAUUAUAGGUCCAGCCAUAGUGGAUGCAAGACAGACUGCAUGGAUUAAUUAUAUCUACUAUAAUCAACAGCGUUUUGUGAAUUACUCCCGUGAUGCACUCACUGGUAUGUCUGAACAGCUUGAGGCCACAUCUAGGGUUGCCAGACAGAAUAUACUUACUUUGGAUAUGCUUCUUGCCAGUCAGGGGGGUGUCUGCAAGAUGUUCAGUGAACAAUGUUGCACGUAUAUUCCUAAUGACACCAGUCCAGAUGGUAGUAUAUCUAAGGCCCUUAGUGGGCUUGAUGCACUAUCUGCUGAGAUGAGGACCAUGGCGGGGGUGGAGGAGUCUGGACUGUUCUCUUGGUUGGGAGCCUGGUUUGAAGUCUGUUACAGAUGUGGUGAAGGCUUCAGGCAUGAUGCCUUUGCUUGAUGCUCCAGUUGGAGAUGCUGAUACUGAAUCAUGCUUUCAGGGGAGGAUGGGACUGACUGAGGAUGAUCCAUGGUAUGCUGUGGGUGAGGUAGUAGAAUAAAUAUUACACCACCACAGUUCCUUGUUUUACAUUUUUGUUUUAUGUUAAGUUCUUUCCAGUAUGUUUGUUCUCCCUGUUGUGAAGGUUUGGAGUCCCUGGGUGGCAUGGUGCCCACCUGGUGCAGGAUAGGAGUAGCUGAGAGGACCAGAUGGUUUAUAAUAAUGCUUUGCUCUGCUUUACUCUGUUUUCCAUGACCAAAGUUUUAUCCUACAUCUUACAUGUCAAUAAACAGUAAAGUCUUAUCCUGUUUUUGUCAAAAGGGGGAGACAAAAGCAUAUAUCACUUGAUUUUAAUUUUUUCUUGGUUGAUUUUUAUUUUCUGUUUUUCUGUAAAAAAUAAAUAAAAAUAAUAAUUAUAAUUAUGUUUUAUUAAUAAUAAACUUUUUGUUAUUUUCAUGAAAUGCUAUUAACAUAUUACUAUGUUGGGACUGCUGAAAUAAAGGAUAAUGAGUGACACCCUAGCGGGUGUCAAAAGGUGGACUUAAAUUUAACACCAUUUUCUUUUAUUCUGUUUUUAAAUGAGCUGUUGUUCUCUUAUGACAUGAGGGUUUUAAGUUCCUAGGUGGCUGGUAGCCAAUCUAGUACAUAGUGGGAUCGAAUGGAGGACAUGAAGCUAUUUUAAACUUUGUAACUGUUAUAUGAUUCAUUGCUGAAUUUUUGUUCACACCCUUGGGGGUGUGAAAAGGGGGGAUUGUUGGAUCCUGUAUUUUACAUUAUUGCCAUUAGAUUAGAUAUAUAUGAUUAAAUAUUAUCUGAUGUUGGUUGUGUGAGGUGUCUGCAUUUGUGCACUGGAGCAUCAUUAUGAGAUUAAACAACUGCUUGCUACUUGCCUGUUUGUGUGUGACAAGAACUGAGUAACAUGGUGUGACCUGCAUGUUGCAAAACUGUCAAUAACAGCCCAGCAGAUGCUUUGUCCUUGUGUUUGUAUGUAACAAUAUUGAGCACAUGGUGUGACUUGCUGUAUCUUACAAAGUUGUGAUAGGGAGGGGUGGUCAUCACGAGGUUUAACUGAGAUGGAAAAAUACUGAACAACACAAUAGCAGGAACUGAGCAACUAGGCUGCGAUACCGGAACAGUAAGGAUCUAUACAUCGACGGAGGGAGAACUCCAAGAAGCGCCAAGAGGCGGGGACCCGCCUGAGCGCCUGCAAUAGGCUGGGCAAGUUUAAACCACGCCCAGCCUCUACUGUGAUAGGCCAAAAGACGGGUUGGAACUAUGUCUAUCACAGUAUAAAGAAUACUGUUUACAUACAUCUUGUCAGUUCUCUGUUCUGCCCUGCGUGGUAUUACAGUGAGCCUGUAUAUACAAAAGUUGCAUUUGCCAUUUAUUACUUAGCUAAUAAAAAAUACAUAGUAUAAAA